UUUUUUAUUUUUUUUUAGGGCCGCACACAAGGCAUAUGGAAGUUCCGAGGCUAGGCGUCAAAUCAGAGCUAUAGCCGCUGAGCCAUGCCACAGCCACAGCAAUGCCGGAUCCAGCUGCAUCUGCGACUUACACCACAGCACACAGCAGUGCUGGAUCUGGAUCCUUAACCCACUGAGCAGGGCCAGGGAUUAAACCCGUGUCCUCAUGGAUACUACUUGGGUUCAUUAACUGCUGAGCCACAAUGGGAACUCCGAACCCUGGCUUUUUUGACUGACAUUUGGGGAGGGAGCAGUGGAGGUGCUGAGAGGAUACUGUAGCAUUUGCUUGGUUAGCAGCAGUAGCGGAGUCCAGCCUGGUGGUUCAAGGGUACAGUGGCCAUGGCAUUCAAGCCUCACAGCCAGUCCCUGCCACAUCCUCUCCCAGUGCACUCUGCAUGCAGCCUGGCACGCCAGUGUCAGGUCUGCCCAAAAAAUGGGGCUCGCUUCUCGCUGUAUUGUUCCCAAGCCAUUUUGGCUUUAUUUCGGAAAGUGAGACACCCUGGACCUUUCCAUUUCCAAAGGUCUGGCAGCUCCUUCUUUUCCCUCCCUUGGACUUGAGACUGUCAACAUCAUUUCCACUGAAGGAGCCUGGAAAAUAAUAAAAUUAGCAAUAGUAACUCGAUAAUUAUAAGAAGUCCUCAUAUAUCUGACAAUGCUCGAUAUCAGUGGGAAAAUAAGCUACUUGAAAGUGAAUGCAUUGAAAAUGUUGACCAAAAGAUCACGGUACAAGAAUGAAAAAUUAGGAGUUCCUGUCGUGGCGCAGUGGUUAAUGAAUCCGACUAGGAACCAUGAGGUUGCACGUUCAAUCCCUGACUUUGCUCAGUGGGUUAAGGAUCCAGAGUUGCCGUGAGCUAGGGUGUAGGUUGCAGACUUGGCUCAGAUCCCGCGUUGCUGUGGCUGUGGCAUAGGCCAACGGCUACAGCUCCAAUUAGACCCCUAGCCUGGGAACCUCCAUAUGCCACGGGUGCAGCCCUAAAAAGACAAGGAAAAAAAAAAGAGUGAAAAAAUAAAAUAAAAUAAAAAUAAAAAACCUAAAAUCCUUGAAUGUGAUUUUGCCUAGAAAAAUGAAAUAUUUUAUAACAACUUUUAUAAAAAUUAGCUUAUUUUCUUUUGAACAAACUUUGGGUCAUAAUACCAACUAUUAACUAAUUAAUUCUUAAGGCAUGAAUAAAAUAAACAUUUCUUAAUCUGACAAUGGAUAUGUGUAUAUGUAUGACUGGGUCACUUUGUUGUACAGCAGAAAUUAUUAAAGCCUUGUAAAUUAAUUAUAUUUUAAUAAAACUUAGCUAAAGGGGAAAAAAGGAACAUCUUCCAACAAAAUUACAAUUGCCUGACACUAAAUUCCUCACGUUUAACUUUGGUAGCAUAAUUCCCAAAAGAAUAGGUUUUGCAAAAUACCUGAGUGUCUAUCAUUUCUCCAAGAGCCCCUUAAAAAGCUUUGCUAUUCAAAUGAUUUUCUCAGAUGCAUCACUAAACUCAUGCUUCUCUCUUUGUUUGGGAACUGCCUCCCUCUGCCCGUCCUCCUUGGUCAGUGGCUUAGCUGACUGCACAGAGCUGUCUCCAACAUCACUUUCUUUGACUUCAUGAAACCCCUCAUUUAUCUCAAGAUUUCCAUGCCAACCAUUCGCAUUGCAUUUUCAAGUGUGGGCAUCAGACCAUCAGGAAGGGGGAGGUUUGCCCCUCUGGCAGGGAAGAGGACUUAUAUUAAUUGUAAACCAGUUUGGAGUAGAGAUCCAAUUUCUUUUUCCUUUUAGGGCCGAACCUGCAGCAUAUGGAAGUUCCCAGGCUAGGGGUCUGAUCGGAGCUUCAGCUGCCGCCUUGCAGCACAGCCACAGCAACACUGGGAUCCAAGCCGUAUCUGCAACCUGGCACUGCAGCUUGUGGCAACACCAGAUCCUUAAUCCACUGAGCAAGGCCAGAGAUCGAACCAGCAUCCUCACAGACACUAUGUUGGGUUCUUAACCUGCUGAGCUGCAAUGGGAACUCCUUGGGAGUCAAUUUUUUAAGGACUGUACUUCAGCAAGGAAUGUUUUUGUGACAUGAAACCUUUUGCUUUCUGGUGCCACUCCCUGUUUCAGGCACUUGCAUGAUGAAUACUCAGGCAGCAGGGCCACCUCUGUGUGUCUGUUCAGUGUUUCAAAGUUUAUGAAGCACUUUGACAUUUCAUUCGACCCUCCCAACUGCCCAGUGAGGAACCAUCAUUUUCUGAGAACCAUAAAGGUUGGCCUUUCGGAGAGACAUAAAGGUCCCACAGGUGCCUGGGAAGCAGAGCCAGGGCUGAAACCCAGGGCUGCCAGUUGUCAGCCCUGGCUCUUUCUCUCUCUUGCUCUUGACUCAAGAGGGGAACUAAAAUAGCCUUUUAAAGAAAGAAUUUGAUAUUCCCCAAAGCUACCUCAAAAUGGUAGGAAAAAAAAAAAAACAACAACGAUAACAACAUUAGAAUUCCUUGAAUUAAUUUAAAGUUUACUAUGACAUUUAUUUUAAAUUCCGUAUCGUGGAAUGCUGUACUUUUUGCUGCUUACUUUCUCUGGAGGUUCCUCAUCUGGCCCUGCUCAUUUGGGUGCCCAGUAGAGCCACGGCAGAUGCUGAACGGAGGCCUGGAAUGCACAGACCCCAGAUUCUGAUCUGGUCUGCUGAGCCAGGAAGCCUGUAUAAGGCAGAAUCUGAUAUCUGGCCCUCCUUGGAUCCAGUUCUGUAACCCAGGUCAAAAAGCCCCACUAGCGGAGUUCCUGUUGUGAUGCAGGAAACGAAUCCGACUAGGAACCAUGAAGUUGCCGGGUUUGAUCCCUGGGCUAUCUCAGUGGGUUAAGGAUCUCGAAUUGCUGUGAGCUGUGGCAUGGGUUGCAGAUGCGGCUCGGAUAUGACAUUGCUGUGGCUGUGCCUUAGGACUGUGGCUACAGCUCCGAUUCGACCACUAGCCUGGGUGUGGCCCUAAAAAGAUAAAAAUUUAAAAAAAGUCCCACUAGCAAAGCUCAUUCCUAAACUUUGCCCAAACCAAAAUUAGCUUUUCUGCUUGCAGAAGAGUCUGCUGUGAGCAAGAAACUCUCUGUCUGGUCCAGAAUUGCGAUUUGGUUCACCUUGGCAACAUCAUUUCAAUUAGGGUCAAUAACCCUCUUAAUUAUGCACUAUUCCUUAAGCAGCAAGCUAAUGCUUCAUUCAUCAGAAUUUUAUCUCCUAGUUACGCCGCUAAGAGUCCCUCUGGUCUAUUCCACUCACAUUGUCAACAAGAAUAAAUUCGAGAGUUCAAUAUUACUGCAGAACCGGCCGUUCAUUAGGGCUCGUUUUAUUAGUCUCCUGCAGUUUGGAGCUGCCAGGAUGUGGGCAGGCUGAACUCUUAACAACCAGCCACACAGGCACAGGGGCCAGGCCGGCUUCGAGGCAGGCCAGGGAUGGGGAGGGGCCCCUUGAUGGGGCUCCAGGGAGAAGUGGAGGGGACAGGAAGCAGUCUUUCUUCCUCUAAUCAUUUCUAGCAGAAGAAGCAGUCUCAUUCCCAUUUCUUUCCAAAGAUGUGACCAGAGAGGUCAAGGCCUCCCAAGAAUCAUCGGGUUUUUUCUUUUUCCUCUCAAGCACAAACUCCCGUGUGCUGGCCUUGAACUCGAGAGGACAGAAGGCUUAUUGCGGUAGGUCUGGGCAGCCAUGAAUGUAUCCAGCACUAUAAUGCACUGCAAUUUUUCAAAUGUUUUUAGAUGCCUCUGGGAUGAAUAAAAGAAAAAUGCAUUUAAGAGCUGCAGAAUUCACAGUAAUCGUAUCAGCUGCUUUACAGGGGACCUCUUCCCAGUCUCCAAAGGCUCUUUUUCUCUCAGAACUCAUUUCUUCUUGCCAAUAGAAAACAGCCCAUGUUUGUAUCACCCGCACCUUCUUCCCAGUCACAGCCAACUGAACCCGGGGCCAGCACCUGGUCCAUGCAUAGCGGACCAGAGUCUCCCUUCUAGAACUUGGGAUUCAAUGAAUUUGGGGUGCAGAUGUCCGGCACAGAGGUAACCCGUAACUGGGAGCUGUGGGGCAUCUUCUUGUUUUAAGCAUGGAAAAUGGGGACGCUGGGGAAGGAGUGUUGCAAACACAUGGAGAGAAGCAGAAUUCGAGGCAGCCAUUGAUGAAUCCCAACCAUUCUCCAGCUCCGGCCUUUCUCUUCCCAGAGACUGGGAUGCUACUGACUAUCCCAAGAAUCUUUCUAAUACACUGAGAAUGGAUUAAGGGCACCUCAACCAAAGAAAUAUUGACGAAAUAGUCAUUUCUUGAUAUUAUUUUCUAAUGCAAUAGAUACUAUAUAUAACUAUUAGUAGGAGUUCCCAUUAUGGCUCAGUGGUAAUGAACCCAACUAGUAUCCAUGAAGAUGCAGGUUUGAUCCCUGGCUUCACUCAGUGGGUUAAGGAUCUGGCAUUGCCGUGGCUGUGGUAUAGGCCAGCAGCCGCAGCUCCGAUUCGACCCCUAGCCUGGGAACUUCCAUAUGCUUCAGGUGCUAGCCUAAAAAGAAAAAGAAAACAAAAACAAAAACAAAAACUCAACAUGUUCGUAUGUGGGGAUCCUGAUUUGUAUCUAUUAAGAAGGUGCCUGAAUUCUUUCUAAGAAUGUUUUAGAAGGAUGAUGGUCUCUGCUUUGCCUGAAAAUUCUCUACAGAAGUGGAUUCAUCACUUACAGGAGAAAAUCCAGGGGAUGCGCUCAGCAUCUUUCGCUAACUUGGUGCUGAACAAGGGUCCAUUUAUUUUCAUAGACCCCCUGACCAGUGCUCACAAUGGCCAGGACCAGAAAUACCCUUCUCAAGUGUAUUGUUUAGCCAAGUGUCACGAUUCGAACAUGUCUCCCUCAUCUUGAAGAUUUUUGCAGCCUGAUGUACUCCCCUCCUUGCAAUUACUGGCUCAGAUUGUAAUUCUAUUUUUAGUUCUCUAAGGAACCUCUAAGGAACCUCCAUACAGUUUUCCAUAGUGGUCGUACCAAUUUACAAUCCCACCACCAAUGUAGGAGGGUUCCUUUUUCUUCACAGCCUCUCCAGCAUUUAUUAUUUGUAGAUGUUUUAAUGAUGGCCUUUCCGACCGCUGUCAGGUGGUACCUCAUUGCAGUUUUGAUUUGCAUUUCUCUAAUAAUUAGUGAGUUGAGCAUCUUUUCAUAUGCCUGCUUGCCAUCCAUAUGUCUUCUUUGGAGAAAUGUUUAUCUAGGUCUUCUUCAUUUGGGUUGUUUGUUUGUUUGUUUGUUUUUGUAGUUGUUGCAUUGUAUGAGUUUUUGUAUAUUUUGGAGAUACAUUGUCAUUUGGUUUGCAACUAUUUUCUCCAUUCUGUAGGUUGUCUUUUCUUUUUGUGUAUGGUUUCCUUUGCUGUGUGUACUUAUCAUUUGUGGAGCUC
rnacentral:lncRNA from 1 species